CUCUCUUAGUGCAGACUGAUAAAUGCACAUGCGUUAAUACAUGCAGAUGCGUUAAAGCAUGUUUCUAAGGAGCUAUGUCAAUCUCCCAUGGCCUCCCUCUUGCUGUAUAACGUUAAGAACAGCAAUAAUCACUACAAGUUGAUUGGAUUGUAUUUCUGGUACUAUAGAACAAGUUGUUUCUGAACAAGUUCAUUUUGAUCUCUAGUCUCAUCGACCUUGAUUGGAUUGUAUGGAUGGUAUCCUUAUUCUGUUUUCUGUCCAAAACGCAGAACAAUUCUCUCAGUCUUUUCAUAUCUCUCAGCUAAAGCAAAUUCAAGAAUCUCCCUUGUUCAAAGGAUAAAUAAAAGAUGGGGGAGAUUGUUGUGGGAAUUCUUGAUAGAAUAGAAACGUGCAGCAUAAGUCUGUAUGGGAGAUUGCAAAGCCUUCUAGUUCUUUUAGUUUGUAUCAGUUCGUUUGGUUUCCAGUGAAAUAGAUAUGUUUUCAUCUGUUUAGGUUUCCUGCUAUGUAUUCCUUCAUCUCAAAUUCUCAUAAUCUCAAUUGCAUCUCUCUUACUGUAAA